GACGAACGCUGGCGGCGUGCUUAACACCUGCAAGUCGAACGGAGUGGCGAACGGGUGAGUAACACGUGGGUGAUCUGCCUUGCACUUCGGGCUAAGCUUGGGAAUCUGGGUCUAAUACCGUAUAUUGCAAGAUGAGCUCGCGGCCUAUCAGCUUGUUGGUGGGGUAAUGGCCUACCAAGGCGUCGACGGGUAGCCGGCCUGAGAGGGUGUACGGCAAGAUUGGGACAGGAAUACGGCACAGACUGCUACGGGAGGCAGCAGUGGGGAAGAUUGCACAAUGGGCGGAAGACUGAGGCAGCGAGGCCGCGUGGGGGAUGAAGGAAGUCGGGUUGUAAACUCAUUUCGACAGGGACGCGGUACCUGGAGAAGAAGCACCGGCUAACUACGUGCCAGCAGCCGCGGUAAUUC
rnacentral:rRNA from 1 species